CAGGUCAUCGUUUCUUUAAGAAAGGAAAGAAGAAGAAGGUGCAGAAAAAUCAUGCGGCCAAUCUUAAGCCAAAAUAGAGCAAAAAGUCAGAAGUUGACAAGAGCCAGACAGAAUGCUUCUUUUGUAAGAAGUUGGAUCAUUGAAAAAAAAAUUAUCCGACAUAUAUAGUUUCUCUUGAUCCAAACAGAUCAAAGAACAAGAGAAAC
rnacentral:lncRNA from 1 species